GACCCUAUAGAGUUUAAUAUUUAAUUAAUAAAUUAUUUUUUAGAAUUUAAUGAUAAUUUAUUAAUUAAUUAUUUGAUUGGGGUGAUUGAAAAAUUUAAGUAACUUUUUUUAUAUUAAAACAUUAAUUUAUGAUUGUUUGAUCCAUUAAUUAUGAUUAUAAGAUUAAAUUACCUUAGGGAUAACAGCGUAAUUUUUUUUAAGAGUUCAAAUCGAAAAAAAAGAUUGCGACCUCGAUGUUGGAUUAAAAUUUAUUUUUGGUGUAGAAGCUAAAUUUAUUGGGUCUGUUCGACCCUUAAAAUUUUACAUGAUCUGA
rnacentral:rRNA from 1 species